rnacentral:rRNA from 2 species
GAAUGAAGCGGGAACAGCUCAAAUUUGAAAUCUCCGUCGCCUGCGACGGCGAAUUGUAGUUUCGAGAAGCACUUUCUAGGCGGACCCGGGGCCGUCCAAGUUGCUUGGAACAGCACGUCAUAGAGGGUGACAACCCCGUCUGUGGCGGAACCGGCCGCUGACGAUGCGCUUUCGACGAGUCGGGUUGUUUGGGAAUGCAGCCCAAAAUGGGUGGUAAACUCCAUCUAAAGCUAAAUACUGGCACGAGACCGAUAGCGAACAAGUACCGUGAGGGAAAGAUGAAAAGCACUUUGAAAAGAGAGUUAAAAAGUACGUGAAACCGUUAAAAGGGAAACGAAUGGGGUUAGCAAUGCGCUCCGCGAGAUUCAGCCGGGGGCUGGACCGGCCGGGCGGUCUGCGGAUCUGAAUGGACCGCGGCCGUCCGGGUCGGCCCUUCGACCGUCGCACUUCUCGCGAGCGCGCGUCAGCGUCGGUUGGGACUGGGUCUCAAAGGCGCCGUGGAAGGUAGGUCCCUGCCUUCGGGCAGGGACUGUUAUAGCCCGGCGUUUUCAUGGCCCGGACCUGACCGUGGAGCCGCGCGGCGCGUGCCUCUUCUGGCUGGGGUCCCGUCGUUCCGGUCGGUCGUCGACUGCGGUGGACUGCGUGCAGUGCGCCGCGACUGCUGCCGGUCGCUUCGGCGGUGACCUCACACACAACGCGCCCAGGACGCUGGCGGUCAUAUGGCCUCAUCCGACCCGUCUUGAAACACGGACCAAGGAGUCUAACAUGUGCGCGAGUCUUCGAGUGAUCGAAACUCCCAGGCGGAAUGAAAGUGAAGGCGGCCUCGGCCGCUGAGGUGAGAACCCCUCGCGUUCGCCGCGGGGGGCGCAUCAUCGACCGACCUAUUCUACUCUUAGGAAGGUUUGAGUAAGAGCGCACCUGUUGGGACCCGAAAGAUGGUGAACUAUGCCUGAAUAGGGUGAAGCCAGAGGAAACUCUGGUGGAGGCUCGUAGCGAUUCUGACGUGCAAAUC